GACGCCUGGCGGCAGGCUUACACAUGCAAGUCGAGCGGUAACAGGAGAAGCUUGCUUCUCGCUGACGAGCGGCGGACGGGUGAGUAAUACUUAGGAAUCUACCUAGUAGUGGGGGAUAGCUCGGGGAAACUCGAAUUAAUACCGCAUACGACCUACGGGAGAAAGGGGGCAACUUGUUGCUCUCGCUAUUAGAUGAGCCUAAGUCGGAUUAGCUAGAUGGUGGGGUAAAGGCCUACCAUGGCGACGAUCUGUAGCUGGUCUGAGAGGAUGAUCAGCCACACCGGGACUGAGACACGGCCCGGACUCCUACGGGAGGCAGCAGUGGGGAAUAUUGGACAAUGGGGGCAACCCUGAUCCAGCCAUGCCGCGUGUGUGAAGAAGGCCUUUUGGUUGUAAAGCACUUUAAGCAGUGAAGAAGACUCCAUGGUUAAUACCCAUGGACGAUGACAUUAGCUGCAGAAUAAGCACCGGCUAACUCUGUGCCAGCAGCCGCGGUAAUACAGAGGGUGCAAGCGUUAAUCGGAAUUACUGGGCGUAAAGCGAGCGUAGGUGGCUUGAUAAGUCAGAUGUGAAAGCCCCGGGCUUAACCUGGGAACGGCAUCUGAUACUGUUAGGCUAGAGUAGGUGAGAGGAAGGUAGAAUUCCAGGUGUAGCGGUGAAAUGCGUAGAGAUCUGGAGGAAUACCGAUGGCGAAGCAGCCUUCUGGCAUCAUACUGACACUGAGGUUCGAAAGCGUGGGUAGCAAACAGGAUUA
rnacentral:rRNA from 1 species